CGAAUUUACUGUCGGAGGGCAGCAAUUCGGGUUUGAGCAGACUCCCCCAGCUUCCACCAGGGGGCGCCUUAGGAUCGUGGCGAAGGUGAAGGGGGGCCGUGCACUCUGCACCGAGCGCCGUGGAGGAGACUCUCUCGACCGCCUCCUGGAGAGGGGAACAGCCGGUCUCCCACGACGGGAAAAAAACAGGUCGCUCUUCGCCGCGGCCGGGGAGAAAUGGCCGGAGCGCAGUGCCGCAGGAAAAGCUGUCUGUUCCGGCUGUCGAAGGAGAACUGCCCCUUCAGGCGGCUGCGGAAGACCACCGCCUACGAAAUAAGGAAUCCUCCAUCUGCCAGCACUGUGGAAAGAUGGGGUGCGGCUGAGCAGACGCCCAGUAGUUGCCCCCCGCAGCCUCUGAAUGGUAUCGCCCAGGUGUACAUAGAGCCCCGCCCUCCAGAAGUCUACUGCCCCGCCCCCUCCAGUCCACACCAAUCAGGAGCGCAGUGUGGUGCUGUCAAUCACACUUGUCUCCUCCACGUGGGUCCUCACCCGUUGCUGACCCCUCGCUGCCCCUGUCGCCCUCCCUUGGACUCGGCGCUGGAGGGAGCGGUGAUGGACGCAGAUCCGAUGUUGUUUGGAUUGGUCCAGUCCAGCCCCGGACCCCCUGCCAGCCUUCCUGCCUCAGAGGUGAGGCCGAGCUGGGCCCAUCAUCAUCCUCAGCACAGAGGCUCGAACCCUCCACCAGCACCCACCCCUGCACACCUGAGACCCCUGUCCUCAGACGUUGACGCCAGCAUGGGUCAGUCUCAGCCCUCGUCCAUCCCCUACCUGUCCUCACUCUUCUCCUCCUUUCCCUCUCACUCAUCCUCACUCACACCCUCUGUGGGCCUGAGAAUAAUCUGGAACCAGGAACAGCAGGAUCAGCAGAGAGAGGGACAGAGGAGGAUCAGUAGAGAGACAGAGCAGGAUCAGGAGUGAGAGAGACAGAGCAGGAUCAGGAGUGAGAGAGACAGAGCAGG
rnacentral:lncRNA from 1 species